UACGUAGGGGGCAAGCGUUGUCCGGAAUCAUUGGGCGUAAAGCGCGUGUAGGCGGCUCGAUAAGUCUGCUGUGAAAGUUCAGGGCUCAACCCUGAAAUGCCGGUGGAAACUGUCGAGCUAGAGUCCGGAAGAGGCGAGUGGAAUUCCUGGUGUAGCGGUGAAAUGCGCAGAUAUCAGGAGGAACACCGAUGGCGAAGGCAGCUCGCUGGGACGGUACUGACGCUGAGGCGCGAAAGCGUGGGGAGCAAACAGG
rnacentral:rRNA from 1 species